UCGGGACUUGUUGGAUCUGACACAAGUUCAGGAAUUCUCGGUACCUUAAGCCCUCAGGGCUGGGGUCCUCCUACCUGCCUGCCUCUGCCCUUCCUCCCUGCAAGGGGUGGGGCGGGAUGGUGUUGACGGUGAAAUAAAGAUCAAAGGGCAGUUCCGUGCGCGGCUGGAGAAGCGUCAGCCACAGCCCUGGACGCGUAAACAUCCUGAGAGGAGGGUCCUGGCGGUUCCUGAGCACUUGCUGCGUGUCAGACACAGGGGUUGCCCUCUUGCAAGUUGACCCGGAUUCUGCAGAGGAGGAAGCUGAAGAAGCUCUGGGAGGCGAGGGCACCUUGGCCUGGUAAUGGCAUUCAAACUUGAGUGGCGUUCUGCCCAUGUCCAAGUCCCUUUCCUCCACCUUGCUGCCUCCAGGAUAGGGGGAAUCCUGGAAGACUCCUCGGAGGAGGUGAUGUGCAAACUGAUCCUUGAGGAAGGAUGGAAAGAAACCCACCCCACAGAAUAGAGGGGGAAAGGCAUGGAAGGGCAUUUGUGAAGGAGAAACAGCGAGGCGGCACACCCAAGCACGAAGUGACAAUAACCGGCGCAUACUGAGUGCCUACUAUGUGCCAUUCACUCACUGAAUCACCGCCACAGCCCUGUGAGGUGGGAAAACUGACUGAAGGGGCAGUCCAAAGGCCACACAGAGAGCUGAGACAAUGAGAUUGUCAUUGCACAUCAGACCAGGAGGCCUAUCCAGGCCACGGGGGAUGGUACCUAACGUUCCUUCAUUAUGUGCCAGAAGGAGCCAUUCACCAACACUCAGUCUUUGCUGAUUUCCUUUCAUCAUGGAGUCAUUCAACAAAUAUUUCUCGAGCCCCUAUUGGGUGGGGAGAGCUGACCUCACACAGCCGCCCAUGGCAAAGACAGAUGCAUUCUGAGUCUCCCAGGCUCUUCCCUGAACCCCAAACCUUUUGACAACAGCCCUCUUCUGAACUCCCCCUGCACCAGGUAGAAUCCCUCCCUCGUGUACAGAGGCCACAUGCCCAGUGAUCAGGAGCUCUGGCUCUGGCAUCCACAGAUGGGCUCUUAGUAGAUGCUUAAUAAACAGCGACUGUAGCCUGGCUGGUGUGGCUCAGUGGCUGAGCAUCGACCUAUGAACCGGGAGGUCACGGUUCGAUUCCCAGUCAGGGCACGUGCCCCAG